AUGGUGGUGCAUUAUUUGUGGCUCUACCGAUGCUAUGCAUUGCUGGUAUCGUCGGAUGUUUCAUACGAAGUCAAAUCUUUGGAUUGAUUUUUUUAUGCAUCGGCCUAGCUCUGUUUUCCAUUUACUUGAUUCGUAAACGACACACAGUUGAUUAUCGGUGGUAAACAUAAAUAUCAAUUAAGCCCAGAAGAGUAUAUUGUUGUGAGUCUCAUUAUGUACUUGGAUAUACUUCGCAUUUUACUGUACAUUCUGCGCAUUCUUGC